rnacentral:rRNA from 1 species
UACGAAGGGUGCAAGCGUUACUCGGAAUUACUGGGCGUAAAGCGUGCGCAGGCGGUUCGCCAAGUCAGGUGUGAAAUCCCCGGGCUUAACCUGGGAAUUGCGCUUGAAACUAGCGGGCUUGAGUGCGGCAGAGGGGGGUGGAAUUCCACGUGUAGCAGUGAAAUGCGUAGAGAUGUGGAGGAACACCGAUGGCGAAGGCAGCCCCCUGGGUCGACACUGACGCUCAUGCACGAAAGCGUGGGGAGCAAACAGG